rnacentral:rRNA from 1 species
CACGUAGGGCGCAAGCGUUGUCCGGAAUUAUUGGGCGUAAAGAGCUCGUAGGCGGUCUGUUACGUCUGCUGUGAAAACCCAGGGCGUUAACCCUCGGCGUUGCAGUGGAUACGGGCAGACUAGAGGUAGGUAGGGGAGAAUGGAAUUCCCGGUGUAGCGGUGAAAUGCGCAGAUAUCGGGAGGAACACCGGUGGCGAAGGCGGUUCUCUGGGCCUUACCUGACGCUGAGGAGCGAAAGCGUGGGGAGCGAACAGG